rnacentral:rRNA from 1 species
UACGAAUGGUGCAAGCGUUGUUCGGAAUCACUGGGCAUAAAGGGCAUGUAGGCGGCGGCGUAAGUCAGGUGUGAAAUCCCCCGGCUCAACCGGGGAACAGCAUCUGAUACUGCGUCGCUAGAGUACGGGAGGGGAAAGCGGAAUUCCUGGUGGAGCGGUGAAAUGCGUAGAUAUCAGGAGGAACGCCGGAGGCGAAAGCGGCUUUCUGGCCCGUUACUGACGCUGAGGUGCGAAAGCUAGGGGAGCAAACAGG